AUUGAACGCUGGCGGCAUGCCUUACACAUGCAAGUCGAACGGUAACAGGCCUUCGGGUGCUGACGAGUGGCGAACGGGUGAGUAAUGCAUCGGAACGUGCCCAGUGGUGGGGGAUAACGCAGCGAAAGCUGUGCUAAUACCGCAUGUGAUCUGAGGAUGAAAGCGGGGGACCUGGCAGCAAUGUUUGGCCUUGCGCCUUUGUAGCGGCCGAUGUCAGAUUAGGUAGUUGGUGGGGUAAAGGCCUACCAAGCCGACGAUCUGUAGCUGGUCUGAGAGGACGACCAGCCACACUGGGACUGAGACACGGCCCAGACUCCGACGGGAGGCAGCAGUGGGGAAUUUUGCGCAAUGGGCGAAAGCCUGAUCCAGCAAUGCCGCGUGCGGGAAGAAGGCCUUCGGGUUGUAAACCGCUUUUGUUCGGAACGAAAAGGCUCUGGCUAAUCCCUGGGGCUGAUGACGGUACCGUAAGAAUAAGCACCGGCUAACUACGUG
rnacentral:rRNA from 1 species